rnacentral:lncRNA from 1 species
UUGAAAGAGAAACCGGUAUCACUGCCAGGGUCAGUACCAGUUUUGCCGGUGGUCUCCGCCUCUGGUGACUCAGCAGAGCAGUCCGGUGAUAGCAAAACCGACUCUCAAGCCGUGAGCAAAAUGAAACUUGUUAAUAUUGAGAAAAGACCUACCAGGACUCCUCGUCCACCUCCUAAACGAUCAGGAGGUGGUCCAGCUCCAGCUGGUAAUACUGUUACAGGUGGAGCACCUGGAGGUCCACCCCCACCGCCUCCUCCGCCUGGUGCUCCACCACCGCCACCUCCACCUGGCGGAGGACCUCCUAGACCACCACCUCCUCCUGGAUCUUUAAUGAAAGGAGGAGCUGGAGGUGACAAGGUUCAUCGUGCUCCUGAAUUAGUUGAAUUCUACCAAUCAUUGAUGAAACGCGAGUCAAAGAAAGACACAUCAUCAGCUUUGAUAACUGCU